AGCUGACCCUGGAGUUAACAGGCUCAGACCUUAAAGGGGGUAGUCUCACAGCAGGUUCACACCCAGCACUUCAGAGUUUUGUUAUAGACAUAAGGAAUAAGCACCACUCUCAGCUGUGAUCUCUGGACCAUGACUGGAUACAUGAUUCAGUAUAAAUACCCUUCCCAUUUGCUGUCCAAAAUAUCUCGCUUCACAGCUGGACCCUAGUUGUACCUGUGUGUCAUAGGAAGCAGAAGCUGAAUUCUCAGGUCCUUGUGAAGGAGGGAAGCUUGCCUGCCUUGGAGCGUGAAAAAGUCUUGCUGGACAGAAGUCUCACGGUUUAAAAAUGGGAAGGGAGAGGAUUGAGAUCACACUAGCAUGCACAGAAAAUUCUUAAAACAAAAAGAUAAUGAGAGAAACUUCAUCAGAAUGUGAAAAGAACUAUAAAGCUACAGUGCUGAAGAGAAGGCAAUACUGGCACUAGAAUGACAAGAUUCAUGGAACACAGUGGAAAAUCCAGAAAGAAAGCUGCAUGUAUGUAAUAUUUUAUCAUGUGAUAAAGUGAUAUGUUAAUAUCCACAAGGAAAUAGUCAAUUAUUUCAUAAGUUCUCUUUUGGAUAUUGACUUACCAUAUGGAAACAAAUAUUGCUGCAUUUCUACCUUACCAGUUACAAAUAGUGAUUUAGUUGUAAUAAAAAGAAAAUCAUUAGACUUAAAUGAUGAUGAAUUGCAUAGAAAUUCUAGGUGAGAUUGGCCUUUCUAAACCUGACAUCAAAGUAGACACCAUAGAAAAAUUGAUAGAUUUUGUUUUUUUCAAAGUUCAAUUCUCCAAAAGGUGCCAAAUGUAAAUAAUAACAAAUGAGGAGAAAUAUCUUCAACACAUUGGAUAAAGGGUCAGUAUCUCUAAAAUGGUGUAUAUUAAUUCUUACGAACCAAUAAGAAAAAACUAAUCCUCCAAUAGAAGAAUAGGAAAAGAGUGUACAAGGCAAUUCUCAAAAGAAGAAAUAUAAAUGAACUGUAAAGUUGUAAAAUGAUGCUAGUACUCCUACGAUGGGGGAAUGCAAACCGAAUUAACAAAUCUCAUUUUCUGAACCACAGAGCUUGGAUUGCAAUCAUUAUCAAAUUAAAGUAUAUGACUUAGGGAAUGUUAAUUAACCCCCCAAUUUCUAAUGUUACAUUCAACAGUACUUUAAAUCCUUAAUGAAGUUUCUGUGUAGAUUAAAUACAAUAUGCAUGCAAUGUGCUUAGUACAUUAACUACCAGAAUGUCAGUACCCAUAUUUACCAUCAAUAUUAUUAUUAUUAUUAGUCUUUUUGAGACAGAGUCUCACUGUGUUGCCCAAACUGGACUGCAGUAGUGUGAUAUUAGCUCACUGAAAACUCCACCUUCUAGGCUCAAGAGAUUCUCCUGCUUCAGCAUCCAAGUAGCUGGGAUUACAUGUGUGCACCGCCACAGCCAGCUAAUUUUUUGUAUUUUUAGUAGAGACAGGGUUUCACCAUGUUGGCUAAGCUGGUCGCAAUCUCCCGGCCUAAGUAUUCCUAACGACUGUACUACUCAAAUGCUGGGAUUACAGGCAUGAGCCACCGGGCCUGGCCAGUAUUAUUAUUACUAAUACAGUAAUUAUUGUAUAAAAAUUCCUGAUAGAUCAAUGAUGCCAUCAUUAAAUAAUCAACACAUAAAAACAUUCAAAUAAAUGAUAUGGACGUCUUUAUGCAUACUUAUGAAGUAUGUGCACCUUUAGAAGUAAGACACACAAUCCAGACACGGGAAAAUAUAAGAUUGAUUAAAAUGUAUAAAAACCAAAUAUAGGAACAAAAAUAUAAAUAUGGCAUUGAAAUAGAAUUGAUACAUACUGCGCUAUGACAGAGUGAAAAAGUUCAAGAAAACGGAUAAAAAUAUUGUUACCUAUAGUGUCAGGGAGAAAAGAGGAAUGAGAAGUCUACAAUGGAAGCUAAAAUCUUCAAAUGUGUCAUCUUUUAUAAUUUUGACUUCAGUUCCAACUAAAUGUUUUACGUAUACAAAACAAAUAUGAAACAAAACAAAAUAAUACACAAAUUUCCAAAAUAUAAAAAUGAAACUGAACAAUUAAAGCAGCUAUAUCAAUGUUGGCAUGAACAAAUAGAGAAAAACUAUUUCAAAUGAUUUUGUGGAAAAAGUAUUGUGAUUAUGUACACAAAAAGGAGAGAAAGAGAGAAAAGCAAGGAAGGAAGGAAGGAAAGAAAGGAAGGAGGGUGGGGUGAUGGAAGGAAAGGAGGAAGGGAGGGAGGGAGAGAAAAUGAUAAAAGCAAGCAUGGAAGUAAGAAAGGAGAGCGAGAAUAAAAGGGAGGGCAGAGAGAGAGAAUGUUCAACUGCAUAUAUUGGCCUAGUGUUUUAGUGGUCAUUAUAGUAUUGCUUAUAUUGUUAUAGACAUAAGGAAUAAGCACCACUCUCAGCUGCGAUCUCUGGACCAUUAUUGGAUGUAUGAUUCAGUAUGAAUACCCUUCCCAUUUUUGUCCAAAAUGUCUUGCUUCACAGCUGGACCCUAGCUGUACCUGUCUGUCCUAGGAAGCAGAGUGAGUGGGCCUUCCCCAUGUUCUAGGAGAGCUGAGAGAAACUUGCUCUCAGCCAGGCUGCUUAGCUGAGGCUUGGAGGUGGCAGCUUGGUCUUCAGGAAAGUCCUGGGGGAGGGUGGGGAACAGGGUGCAGCUGCUGCCAGGGGAGUGUGAUAUUGCAGGGGAGAUCAGGAGUUAAGCUGUGUUUCUCUUUGUACAGAAUACAGUAAAUUCAGGGCAGGAAAUGAGAGUUGGCUGGUCUAUCUUGUGUACCAGAAGCAACCACAGGCAGAUUUUCAGUGUCUGAAUCACUGUGCCUGUCCCAGGUGGCACAGUAAUAGAACCCAGAAUCAUUUUUAAUUAGAUUUUGCAGUCUCAAAUUCCAAUUGCUCCUUGUGCUUCCAGUGUCAUACUUUCCUGGAGUGAUUCCUGAUUCCAGCACAACCCUGGAGUAGUAGGGUUCAUAGUACAGAAGACACUGUGGGGCCUUCCCCUCCUGGUGCAGGUACCAGUGGAUGUAUAAGGUACUUGCUCCAGGAAGAUCACAGGUGAUUUCAGCAGAUGACCCAGUCAGCCUGGUGACUGACUUCGUUCUCCCUUCCAAGUUGGAAGAUAUCUGACUGGCUGCAAUGGGAACAACACAAAAUAUAAUGAGGCAUUUCUUAGUAUGUCGCUCCUUGCAAAAGAAGAAAAUAACAAAACAAAACAAAACCCGUGAUCCUCUCUGUAGGCAGCGCACUCACCAGGAGACAGGAAAGCUAGAAGCACCGCUAGGGCCCACCGCAUGCCUUCCUCUCUGGGGCCUUGGAAGGAAAGGGACCAGAUGAAGAGGAGCAGAAGAUCCUCUUAAAACUCAGGCCCCACUCAACAAGGAAGUGAUCCCUAGCACAGAAGACAGUAAGAGGAGCUGGUCUUCCUG
rnacentral:lncRNA from 1 species